rnacentral:lncRNA from 1 species
AUUAUGGCAUCUGAUAAAAAAUGUUAAGUAAUACAGGGUUGAGGAGAAUCCCCAAAUUCAAAAGUUAAUGUUAAAACAUGUCAGAGGCCAGCAAACUGGCCAUAAAAGCAGACCCAAGGGAUUCUGAACUCCUAUCAUGGGAGCUGGAAGAACCCUAGGAAAAGGGAAGAAAGUUCUGGAAAAGGGUGGACCAUUCCUAGUCUUGAUUCCAGAGAGAAUGAUUUUAAUUAUUUAGAAUAUUUUCAUUGUUUCGUAUUUGAGAAAUAGAAAACAGAACUGCUGAAAUAAAUCUCU